rnacentral:tRNA from 1 species
UCCCUGGUGAUCCAGUGGUUAAGAUUCUGCACUUCCAAUGCAGGGUGUACAGGUUCGAUUCCUGGUCUGGGAA